GGGAAAGUGUUAGCUCGUUAUUAGGGAGAGAGAGGUUGGGAAAGGGACAGGCUGGGUGAAUUAAUAGCAACAGCAGUAAAGCAGCUUUGUGUGAGUGACCCUGAUAUGAUUGACUGUAUGUUCAGGACAUGUAAUGAUGGUGGAGCCUUCCUACAAAUACUGCACUAAGGAAAUGCACAGUUGCUGGAGUUCUCCACAGAGCCCUCUAUUAGAAGACUUUGUCAUGGUAUGGAAGUUCGACACAUCUGCCACCGGAGUGCUACAGAUGGUUCAACUCAUUAGCCUACAGAACUCUAACCGAACAUCACGAGGAGACCUGGGAUCUCACUUGGACUAAAUAUUAAGCUUGCCUCCUGUUCAAUGUCAUUACAUUCCUUUUUUUUUUUUAAAUAAAAAGCUAACC